rnacentral:lncRNA from 1 species
AAGUCGCACCCUCCUCCUCCGGAGAAGUAGUGAAAUAGAUUUUUUUCCCAGACGAAAUCAGUCUGUGAGGGAUUGCAGUAUGGUUCCGUUUCCUUGGUGCGUUUGUAAAAUAGUUUACCCAUUGAAGACCAUGAAGAUUCUUUCCAAUGCUACCCUGCUUUUGCUGGUGUCCUGCACCUGGAAGUUGUGAUGCUAAAGGCUCAUCUUAUAUUUUCUACCCCAUUGACCAUUUCUCUAUUUGACUGUGCCACUGGGAGACCGUAUUUACAAACUGAGGUGUGGACUUAUGGAUUUUUUUAAUCUUUCGUUAUUUCACAUUUAAUUUCAAAGUGCAAACGUUUCAUAUUUGUUGAAAUUUGCCUUACGUCUUAAGAGAACAUAAUCACUACUGUGUCUUGUGUGUUUGUAAAGGGUUUAUAUAUUCUAACUGUUCUAUAUAAGGGUCUAUAAAUACCUGCUAAAUGUGCUACCUUGUUGUGUAAAACUUUUAUAUCUGUAGUAAAGUAUAGGACACAUCUUUU